rnacentral:rRNA from 1 species
GACGAACGCUGGCGGCGUGCCUAAUACAUGCAAGUAGAACGCUGAAGGAGGAGCUUGCUCUUCUGGAUGAGUUGCGAACGGGUGAGUAACGCGUAGGUAACCUGCCUGGUAGCGGGGGAUAACUAUUGGAAACGAUAGCUAAUACCGCAUAACAGUAGAUGUUGCAUGACAUUUACUUAAAAGGUGCAAUUGCAUCCCUAACAGAUGGACCUGCGUUGUAUUAGCUAGUUGGUGGGGUAACGGCUCACCAAGGCGACGAUACAUAGCCGACCUGAGAGGGUGAUCGGCCACACUGGGACUGAGACACGGCCCAGACUCCUACGGGAGGCAGCAGUAGGGAAUCUUCGGCAAUGGACGGAAGUCUGACCGAGCAACGCCGCGUGAGUGAAGAAGGUUUUCGGAUCGUAAAGCUCUGUUGUAAGAGAAGAACGAGUGUGAGAGUGGAAAGUUCACACUGUGACGGUAUCUUACCAGAAAGGGACGGCUAACUACGUG